UACGGGGGGGAGCAAGCGUUGUUCGGAUUUACUGGGCGUAAAGAGCGCGCAGGCGGUCGUUCAAGUCGAGUGUGAAAGCCCCCGGCUCAACUGGGGAGGGUCACUCGAUACUGAUCGACUCGAAGGCAGGAGAGGGUAGUGGAAUUCCCGGUGUAGUGGUGAAAUGCGUAGAUAUCGGGAGGAACACCAGUGGCGAAGGCGACUACCUGGCCUGUUCUUGACGCUGAGGCGCGAAAGCUAGGGGAGCAAACGGG
rnacentral:rRNA from 1 species